rnacentral:lncRNA from 1 species
GGAGAAUCCCAGGGGAAGAAAUCGCAGGUGGUCUGUGGGCUUCACUGGGCUCCAUGUUGCACCAUUUCACGCAGGAGAUCUCCUCUCAUUAUUGAUCUCAUGGGAAGCAGAUCUCAGCAUGACGCAAAGCAUGGAGCAAAGACCAUGUCAUCCUUCUUUCUCCACGGUGGAUGAAGGUGAAUUUAAAACAUUCCUCUUCUCAGAAGAUGGAAAGUGUUUGCAUAAUUCAAUAGGAAACUUAGAGGCAGUGUAGUCCCCAAGCGAAGCGCCAUGUUCAGUUCCGAGGUCAGCAAGAUGACGCCAUCCUUCCUCUUCAAUGGACUGUUUAGAUUUAUGAUUAAAUAAUUCUUCAUAUUAUUAUACUGAUCAUCAUUCUGUGAGUCUUCUUGAGAUUGCUAUAAAUCUUAAUGAAAUACAUGUUCAUUCGAUUUAAUUAAAAGCAGUCAAAGCAGCCUAUUUAAAACGUAUCUAUGAAACAUGAAUUCAAUUGCUACUUAGAGAUAGUAGUAUCUACAUUUUUAUGAAGCAGCCACUUCAAAAUUUGAGAGAAAAAGCCCAUCAUUUGAUUCAGGGCUGAAUAAAAACCAGAGAAAAGAAUAAGAGACUUCAAAACCACGGGAAGAUGAGAAAAUUGAUCUUUUCAGAUCAUGUAAAAAUGAAAUCUCCUUAUAACAAAUGUUAUAAACAUUCAUUAUAACAAAA